rnacentral:rRNA from 1 species
CGCGUAGACGGUUUGGUAAGUCAGAUGUGAAAUCCCCGGGCUCAACCUGGGAACUGCAUUUGAUACUGCCUGGCUAGAGUGUGGAAGAGGGAAGUGGAAUUUCCGGUGUAGCGGUGAAAUGCGUAGAUAUCGGAAGGAACACCAGUGGCGAAAGCGACUUCCUGGUCCAAUACUGACGUUCAUGUGCGAAAGCGUGGGGAGCAAACAGGAUUAGAGUACCCUGGUAGUCCACGCCAUAAACGAUGACAACUAGAUGUUGGGAGGGUCUGCCUCUCGGUGUCGCAGCUAACGCGUUAAGUUGUCCGCCUGGGGAGUACGGCCGCAAGGUUGAA